UCGCAGUCGACCCGUUCCGAUUGAUUGUUUUUAGCAGACAAGUUAGUAGGUACAUUAACUGUUGAUGUUCGCAUGCAGUCGACCCGUUCCGAUUGAUUGUGAAGAUUUCGGAAGGACACAAAUUGUAGUUGUGUUCUUCGAUGGUUGGCCUGCUUUUUGGGCAGUUGAUGGUGUUGACUUGCCAAGCCCGCCGAGCUAUCGCCGGAACAGUAUCUGCCACUGUACCGCGCUGAAGACCGCUGCAAUGAUGCCCGUGAAGAGAAUCCGAUGCUGCUUGAAUCUCUGUUUUGAAGCGCAACGGUCAGCCACGGCGCGCUUUCCCGCUCCUCCGCUUCGGGGGAUGCGCAACCUUCCACGGCCCUGCGCAUAUACCAACGCCGUCCGCGCACCCGGAGCAACGCCGUUUUACAGCCUGACCUGCUGCCUCCACCGGCUGAGCAGAACAACCUCGGCGUCGCCGGCGCAGCGCUGGACGCCCCGCAGUGCGCCGCGCCUUCGCAGAACUCGUCUGUCGUGACCAUUCACGCAGGAACGAGUGCGAGGCAGCCCGGGCAAAGGCAGAAGCUUUUCUGAGCAGCGUCCGCCUCGUGCUACAAACGCCGCUGGCGCAAAGAACGCCGCAGCCACCACCGUCCUGCCCAGGGGCGGCACCAACGCCGAGAAGGAGUGGUCGCCUUGCCAACCAGCCCCUGAACCUCACCGUCCGCCCAUCUAAGAAGGAUAACAAGCCAGACCGGGACGGUGUUGGCGAACGCGUGAACGCCGUCACCACCAGCAUCACCAUCCUUGGUCGUCGUCAAGUCUCAUGGUCGACGUCGCUACACGUGGAGUAACGAACGUUCACAUCCGACAAUGGCGAAACUAGACCGGGUUCUUGUCUCUGUUGAAUGGAAGCUCACUUCCCCUUCUCCUUCCUCCAGGCUAUGUCAUCGGCAAUGAGUGAUCAUUGCCCUUUACAUCUCGCGACAAACGCAACAUUCACGGUCCAGCGUCGCUUUCAUUUUAAGCCAUGGUGGCUAAAUUAAAGCUGCACGGGUUCAUGGAUGCCGUAGCGAGGGGGUGGACAUGCCCAAAUACGAUGAUCGAUCCUUUUGCCCGUCUAGAUUGUAAGCUGAAGAAUACUGCUAAAGAACUUCAGAGAUGGAGCCAACGUAGCGUCGGUCAGGUGAAAAUGCAGCUUUCAGUGGCGAAAACAAUUAAUAUUAUACUAUGGCUUGACAGAGCUCAGGAAGUGAGA